rnacentral:rRNA from 1 species
GACGAACGCUGGCGGCGUGCUUAACACAUGCAAGUCGUACGGUAAGGCCCUUUCGGGGGUACACGAGUGGCGAACGGGUGAGUAACACGUGAGUAACCUGCCCACAACUUUGGGAUAACGCUAGGAAACUGGUGCUAAUACUGGAUAUGUGCUCCUGCUGCAUGGUGGGGGUUGGAAAGCUCCGGCGGUUGUGGAUGGACUCGCGGCCUAUCAGCUUGUUGGUGGGGUAGUGGCCUACCAAGGCGGCGACGGGUAGCCGGCCUGAGAGGGUGACCGGCCACAUUGGGACUGAGAUACGGCCCAGACUCCUACGGGAGGCAGCAGUGGGGAAUAUUGCACAAUGGGCGCAAGCCUGAUGCAGCAACGCCGCGUGCGGGAUGACGUCCUUCGGGUUGUAAACCGCUUUCAGCAGGGACGAAGCUUUUUGUGACGGUACCUGCAGAAGAAGCACCGGCUAACUACGUG